rnacentral:other from 1 species
UUUUCCCUGCGCUGUUGGUGAUCUGUUGCGUGUGUUGAGCCAACUCUUGAAAAAAGGGUAGCCUCGCUGCUUGUUUAAGAACACUCUUUGUGGAGAUUUCUGACACAAUUAUGGGCAUGCCCACCUGAUUAUUCAGGUUUAACUGACCGAUAGACACGGCAGUGCGGGGAAAUA